rnacentral:rRNA from 1 species
GAUGAACGCUGGCGGCGUGCCUAACACAUGCAAGUCGAGCGAAGCACUUACUUUAGAUUUCUUCGGAAUGACGAAGUUUGUGACUGAGCGGCGGACGGGUGAGUAACGCGUGGGCAACCUGCCCUGUACAGGGGGAUAACAGUUAGAAAUGACUGCUAAUACCGCAUAAGCCCACAGCUUCGCAUGAAGCAGUGGGAAAAACUCCGGUGGUACAGGAUGGGCCCGCGUCUGAUUAGCUAGUGGGUAAGGUAACGGCUUACCAAGGCGACGAUCAGUAGCCGACCUGAGAGGGUGACCGGCCACAUUGGGACUGAGACACGGCCCAAACUCCUACGGGAGGCAGCAGUGGGGAAUAUUGCACAAUGGGGGAAACCCUGAUGCAGCGACGCCGCGUGAGCGAUGAAGUAUUUAGGUAUGUAAAGCUCUAUCAGCAGGGAAGAAAGUGACGGUACCUGACGAAGAAGCCCCGGCUAACUACGUG